CAACAACGGAUCUCUUGGCUCUCGCAUCGAUGAAGAACGCAGCGAAAUGCGAUAAGUAAUGUGAAUUGCAGAUUUUCAGUGAAUCAUCGAAUCUUUGAACGCACCUUGCGCUCCUUGGUAUUCCGAGGAGCAUGCCUGUUUGAGUGUCAUUAAAUUCUCAAACUCUGAUUGAUUUUGUUUCGGUCAGAGCUUUGGAUUUGGAGCGUGCUGGCGUCAGUCGGCUCCUCUUGAAUGCAUCAGCGGAAUCCCAUUCAUUUCGGACGUCAGUGUGAUAAUCAUGUUGCGCUGUCUCUUGCCGAUCUUGAAAGCCCGCUCACAAUGGUCUUCGGACAAAACCUCACAUAUCAAAUUUGACCUCAAAUCAGGUAGGACUACCCGCUGAACUUAAGCAUAUCAAUAAGCGGAGGAAAAGAAACUAACAAGGAUUCCCCUAGUAACUGCGAGUGAAGCGGGAAAAGCUCAAAUUUAAAAUCUGGCGGUCUCGCGGCCGUCCGAGUUGUAAUCUGGAGAAGCGUCUAUCCGCGUCGGACCGUGUACAAGUCUUCUGGAAGGGAGCGUCGUAGAGGGUGAGAAUCCCGUCUUUGACACGGACAACCGAUGCUUUUGUGAUGCGCUCUCGAAGAGUCGAGUUGUUUGGGAAUGCAGCUCAAAAUGGGUGGUAAAUUCCAUCUAAAGCUAAAUAUUGGCGAGAGACCGAUAGCGAACAAGUACCGUGAGGGAAAGA
rnacentral:rRNA from 1 species